rnacentral:lncRNA from 1 species
AAAUAAAGUAUGUUAAGAACCCAGAACAAUAAUUAAUUUUAAUUUCUCUUUUCUUCACUUUAAAUUCCUUAGCUUUCUUCCAUUUCAAGCCCUCUCUCUUCAUGUUCCAGCUAUCUGGCUCUACUAAAGACAGGCUCAAGUUUUCCUUGAGAUACCCUUGAGGAAAACCUCCUUGAAACUUGGACCUAUGUUUUCAGAAGAAAUUAGAAUGGAUGCUAUUUAUAGUAAAGGUGACUCCUCAGGAAUGCUGUGUGCACAUGUUGGUGGCUCAGCAGUAAAGAAUCCAUCUGCAAAAGCAGGAGUCUCCAGUUCGAUUCCUGGGCUGGGAAGACGCCCUGGAGAAGGAAAUGACAACCCACUCCAGUAUUCUUGCCUGGAAAAUCCCUUGGCCAGAGGAGCCUGGUAAUAUGAGGCUCAGUCUAUGAGGUCGCAAAGAGUCGAACAUGACUGAGCACACACACACACACACACACACACACCAUACACUUAAUUUAUGAAUGACAAUAUUUUGGCUAUGGCUAGAGAUUCACUAUUUUAACCUUCUUUGCUUUGAAGGAACCCAUUUUCAAUUCUUCUUCAAGUUGCUAAUGGUUCAAUAAGAAACAAGGCCCAGACCUGUGGUUUACAAACUUGUUUUUAAUAACAAAAUCUUACCUUCAAAUAAUAUCUUAUCCUAAAGUGCAAUGUGUAAAACAGAAAAAAACUCAGUUGCCCUGGUUAAGAGGGUGGCAAUCUUCUCCUUCAGUGCUCCGCCUCACCCAUCCUUUAGAAUUCCUGGGGCUCCACAGAGCACAGCCUGAAAACUAACACCCUACAACAAGAGAAAUGAGACGGUAUCAUUGGUCUCCUUUCUUGAUUAAAUUAUAUUGACCUUGCUGGAAGAAGUUCCAUUUAGAAGUUUGUGCUAGAAAGUGAAAAAUGUCGAUAUUAUCUAGUGUUGGCAAGGGAACAGGGAAAUGGGCACUCUCAAACACUGUUGCUGAGAGUAUAGAUCAGUACAGUCUUUUUUAAGAAAAUUGAUCAAAAUUUUAAAUGUGAUCCCUCAGUUCCACUUCUGUAAAUCUUUCCACAGAAAUACUCAUGUUGCUGUUAUUCAGUAUUCACUCACUGUCACGUCUGAUUCUUUUGCGACGCCGUGGACUACAUACAGCAAGCCAUGCUUCCCUGUCCUCCAUUAAUACUUAUAUAUCCACACAAAAGUCUACGUACAAGGAUGCUCAUUAUUUAUAAGACUAGAACAUAAAAAUAAAUUAGUAGAGGAAUGGUUGAAUAAAUUAUGC